UACGUAGGGUGCGAGCGUUAAUCGGAAUCUGGGCGUAAAGCGUGCGCAGGCGGUUGUGCAAGACAGAUGUGAAAUCCCCGGGCUCAACCUGGGAAUUGCAUUUGUGACUGCACGGCUAGAGUGUGUCAGGAGGGGGGUAGAAUUCCACGUGUAGCAGUGAAAUGCGUAGAGAUGUGGAGGAAUACCGAUGGCGAAGGCAAUCCCCUGGGCCUGCACUGACGCUCAUGCACGAAAGCGUGGGGAGCAAACAGG
rnacentral:rRNA from 1 species